rnacentral:lncRNA from 1 species
CAAACUGAUUUAAAACAAUAGUGGAACCUGUUCAUGCUGUUGAAAAGGUAUUUAUUCUAGACACUGAUAUCAGAAUAUUUGAUUUACAGUGUAUUUAUAUUGGUAUUUAAUUCAAUCUUAAAGGGAUAAUAGUUGAUCAUAUUUUUUACCAUAUGUUUACAUUUAUCGUCUUUCUUAAACGCCAUCGACCUAAUCAAAUUAUAAUAAACAUGAAUCUUAUUAAAAAAAAAAACGUAGGAUUAAAAGAAGGGAUAUAACUCCUCAUUGAGUAGCACAUCUGAAACUAAGAAGAAGGCGUACUAUUAUUUAUAUUUGGCAAAGGGUAUAUGUACAGUGCAGUUAUGUAGUCUUUAAAGGGAUCACCAGGUUCGGAUUCCUAAGGAAUACAUAUUGGUGACCUUCUGCUGUUGUCUGUUCUAUGGCCGGGUUGUUGUCUCUCGGAAACAUUCCGCAUUUCCAUUCUCAAUUUUAUAAUUUUACCUAAAUAAAAAUGGGGGUUCCCGCUUUGAUUUUUUUGUUGAUAUUUUCAUGAUUUAACAGACGUUCGAAGACAUCUGAAAGGACCUAUUUUGUUAGCGAAAAAUAAUACCCUUUAUCAAACAAAAUUAAGCAAUCACAAGUGGAACAUACAGACAGAAGAUUGGCAUUUUUAUGAGUACAGUAUAUUAUAUAUAAAAAUCAGUAAUAAGCAAUUUGUUGCCAAAUGCAUUCAGAAUGUGUUUUCAAUACUUUCUGCUUUAUAAAAAAAACUAUAUGAGCCUUUCAUAGACCUUUUCUGUUAUUUAUCAUCAAUCUUAAAUUUUUGAUGACAGUUUUUUGUAACAUAUGCCUAUUAAUAUCCCGUAAUUUAUAUAUUACAGUAUACAUGCUGACUUUCAAGGAGCUAAUCGCAGAAAUUGAGGCAUAUAUAUAGGUCGGUAAAAUUGGAAUAAAAUGUAAUGCAAUAACAAUUUAUACCAUAUAAAACGACGAUUAAACACUGCCAUAGAUAAUGUUCCCGAACGAAUAAGUAUAUCACGGACAGAAAUCAGAGAAUAACAC